rnacentral:rRNA from 1 species
GAUGAACGCUGGCGGCGUGCCUAAUACAUGCAAGUCGAGCGAACGGACGAGAAGCUUGCUUCUCUGAUGUUAGCGGCGGACGGGUGAGUAACACGUGGAUAACGUACCUAUAAGACUGGGAUAACUUCGGGAAACCGGAGCUAAUACCGGAUAAUAUUUUGAACCGCAUGGUUCAAAAGUGAAAGACGGUCUUGCUGUCACUUAUAGAUGGAUCCGCGCUGCAUUAGCUAGUUGGUAAGGUAACGGCUUACCAAGGCAACGAUGCAUAGCCGACCUGAGAGGGUGAUCGGCCACACUGGAACUGAGACACGGUCCAGACUCCUACGGGAGGCAGCAGUAGGGAAUCUUCCGCAAUGGGCGAAAGCCUGACGGAGCAACGCCGCGUGAGUGAUGAAGGUCUUCGGAUCGUAAAACUCUGUUAUUAGGGAAGAACAUAUGUGUAAGUAACUGUGCACAUCUUGACGGUACCUAAUCAGAAAGCCACGGCUAACUACGUG